rnacentral:rRNA from 1 species
CCUACGGGAGGCAGCAGUGGGGAAUAUUGGACAAUGGGCGAAAGCCUGAUCCAGCCAUGCCGCGUGAAUGAUGAAGGCCUUAGGGUUGUAAAGUUCUUUUAUCAGGGAAGAUGAUGACGGUACCUGAAGAAUAAGCACCGGCUAACUUCGUGCCAGCAGCCGCGGUAAUUCGAAGGGUGCUAGCGUUGUUCGGAAUCACUGGGCGUAAAGCGCGCGUAGGCGGCUUCACAAGUCAGAGGUGAAAUCCCAAGGCUCAACCUUGGAACUGCCUUUGAAACUGUAAAGCUGGAGUGUCGGAGGGGAUGGCGGAAUUGCUAAUGUAGAGGUGAAAUUCGUAGAUAUUAGCAGGAACACCGGUGGCGAAGGCGGCCAUCUGGACGACACUGACGCUGAGGCGCGAAAGCGUGGGGAUCAAACAGGAUUAGAUACCCUGGUAGUCCACGCUGUAAACGAUGGGUGCUAGCCGUUGGGGCCUUAGGUCUCAGUGGCGCAGCUAACGCGUUAAGCACCCCGCCUGGGGAGUACGGUCGCAGGAUUAAAACUCAAAGAAAUUGACGGGGACCCGCACAAGCGGUGGAACAUGUGGUUUAAUUCGAGGCAACGCGAAGAACCUUACCAGGGUUUGACAUGCUCUUUAUAGGAUCCCCAAAAGGAUCCGUCAGUUCGGCUGGAAGAUGCACAGGUGCUGCAUGGCUGUCGUCAGCUCGUGUCGUGAGAUGUUGGGUUAAGUCCCGCAACGAGCGCAACCCUCAUCCUCUGUUGCUAGCAGGUAAUGCUGAGAACUCUGAGGAAACUGCCGGUGAUAAGCCGGAGGAAGGUGGGGAUGACGUCAAGUCCUCAUGGCCCUUACACCCUGGGCUACACACGUGUUACAAUGGCAGUGACAAUGGGAAGCGAAAUCGCGAGAUGGAGCGAAUCCCCAAAAGCUGCCUCAGUUUGGAUUGUACUCUGCAACUCGAGUGCAUGAAAUUGGAAUCGCUAGUAAUCGUAGAUCAGCACGCUACGGUGAAUACGUUCCCGGGUCUUGUACACACCGCCCGU